GACGAACGCUGGCGGCGUGCUUAACACAUGCAAGUCGAACGGAAAGGCCCUGCUUUUGUGGGGUGCUCGAGUGGCGAACGGGUGAGUAACACGUGAGUAACCUGCCCUUGACUUUGGGAUAACUUCAGGAAACUGGGGCUAAUACCGGAUAGGAGCUCCUGCUGCAUGGUGGGGGUUGGAAAGUUUCGGCGGUUGGGGAUGGACUCGCGGCUUAUCAGCUUGUUGGUGGGGUAGUGGCUUACCGAGGCUUUGACGGGUAGCCGGCCUGAGAGGGUGACCGGCCACAUUGGGACUGAGAUACGGCCCAGACUCGUACGGGAGGCAGCAGUGGGGAAUAUUGCACAAUGGGCGGAAGCAUGAUGCAGCAACGCCGCGUGCGGGAUGACGGUCUUCGGGGGGGAAACCGCUUUCGCCUGUGACGAAGCGUGAGUGACGGUAAUGGGUAAAGAAGCACCGGCUAACUACGUG
rnacentral:rRNA from 1 species